rnacentral:rRNA from 1 species
UAUUGGACAAUGGGCGAAAGCCUGAUCCAGCAAUGCCGCGUGAGUGAUGAAGGCCUUAGGGUUGUAAAGCUCUUUUACCCGGGAUGAUAAUGACAGUACCGGGAGAAUAAGCCCCGGCUAACUCCGUGCCAGCAGCCGCGGUAAUACGGAGGGGGCUAGCGUUGUUCGGAAUUACUGGGCGUAAAGCGCGCGUAGGCGGCUUAGCAAGUUAGAGGUGAAAGCCCGAAGCUCAACUUCGGAAUUGCCUUUAAAACUGCAAGGCUAGAAUUGUGGAGAGGUGAGUGGAAUUCCGAGUGUAGAGGUGAAAUUCGUAGAUAUUCGGAAGAACACCAGUGGCGAAGGCGACUCACUGGACACAUAUUGACGCUGAGGUGCGAAAGCGUGGGGAGCAAACAG